GGGAUAGCAUUAGGAGAUAUACCUAAUGUAAAUGAUGAGUUAAUGGGUGCAGCACACCAACAUGGCACAUGUAUACAUAUGUAACCAACCUGCAUGUUGUGCACAUGUACCCUAGAACUUAAAGUACAAUAAUAAUAAUAAAAGGAGACUUGAGAAUCUCCCUGCUGCUUUGUUUGAUGAAAGCUUUGUUGUUGGGACAAUUCACCAUACCUAGCUCUAACUUUUCUUAGAACGAGUUGUGCCAGAGACACCACAGGGCUAAGAGAAAUAGACAUUUUUUUGAUUUUGUUUUUUGUAUACUUUCAACUGUGAAUUUGACAGAAAUGCACAAACAUGUUCAGUGGCUGGAUGUAGGUGGAAAUGGGAAAGGGAACUUGGUUAUUAUUACUACUGAAAAUGGGUAAAGGCAUAGUAAUACUCCUGGGAAUGUCAGGAUAUGACUUUCUCUGAGUAAACCCAAAGGCAGAGGGAGGAGAUGAUAAGUGAUUCCGUGGCUUUAACUUUCCCUCUCACUUAGAAAUAUGUGACAGAAAGAAUGAGAAAAGAAGGCAUGACAGAAAACAGUGACAAAAUGGUCCCUGCCAACCAACAGGGAUGUCUUAGGAUCAAACAGCUCAGCCAGAGGGGAACUGGAUCCUUCAUGGUACCUUGAGAGCCCAGUGGGGCCGCUCAUAGGCAGCUAUCCCUGUGCAGGGCCU
rnacentral:lncRNA from 1 species